GACGAACGCUGGCGGCGUGCUUAACACAUGCAAGUCGAACGGUAAGGCCCUUCGGGGUACACGAGUGGCGAACGGGUGAGUAACACGUGGGUGAUCUGCCCUGCACUUCGGGAUAAGCCUGGGAAACUGGGUCUAAUACCGGAUAGGACCACUGCCUGCAUGGGCGGUGGUGGAAAGCUUUUGCGGUGUGGGAUGGGCCCGCGGCCUAUGAGCUUGUUGGUGGGGUGAUGGCCUACCAAGGCGACGACGGGUAGCCGGCCUGAGAGGGUGACCGGCCACACUGGGACUGAGAUACGGCCCAGACUCCUACGGGAGGCAGCAGUGGGGAAUAUUGCACAAUGGGCGCAAGCCUGAUGCAGCGACGCCGCGUGAGGGAUGACGGCCUUCGGGUUGUAAACCUCUUUCAGCACCGACGAAGCGCAAGUGACGGUAGGUGCAGAAGAAGGACCGGCCAACUACGUGCCAGCAGCCGCGGUAA
rnacentral:rRNA from 1 species